UGUUUUCCGGGUUUGGUCAGGUGAUGUUCGACAUAUACCCUAUUAUGCUGCAGGUUAUGUUCUGUGUAAUGCAUUCGUGCAAUACAUACCAUUCCGUACAAUAUCACAUCUGCAUACCUCAGAUUGAAAAUAAGCACCUCAUCAUCAAGAAUCUCUUCUCAGAUCCAUAUUCGGCCACCUGAGCCAGCUGGAAUCUUGGUUGCAGUGGGACUUCACUGCAAAUGAUAUUAUAAUGUUUACAAAAUGUCAGGGAUGAAUGCUGCAGGUCCAGCCUCUCCUCUGAUCUCACUGAACGUUGGUUGUCAUGGCAGCUGUGUGCCGGUGGGGGUCAGCGAGGAAACUCAUCUCUGUUUGCUGUAGCUCAUUGCUCCGCUGUAAUAUCAGCACCGGAGACACCUGGGCCCGCUGACACAGGACCUCAGAGAGAGCAGUGGACUGGCAACCCCCAGUGAUUGCUUUCUCCAGCGUCCGGAACUCCACUCAGUACACACCAUUAACCUGUGGCUCACGGAGCAGGACAUAUUAGUAACCUCACUCAUAAUAACUUCCUCAAGACGCACACACAAUAGACACUGACCUGCAAAGAGUCACUAAACCCCCCAAAAAAAAG